AUGGAAGGGAGUCAAGGAUGUUGCCAUGUGUGUGCCAUCUCUGCCCUAAGCCAAUAUCAUGAAGAAAUCAACAAGAGGUGGAAUAAACUGAGCAAUUCAUCACCAUAUUAAGCUGGGUAUUCCUGUUUAGUAAAUAUCUUUCCCUAGCUGCGUCUUCAUCAGGAGUAGAAUCCACAUCAAGAAAAGACGUUCUUGGCUCAUUCAGAAGAAACAACACCUCCUUCAUUCCAGUGUGAUGGUGAGAUGGCAGCAAUUCAGUCACAUCUUCAGGCUCCACUUCUAACUGUACUUCUCUUGUUGUUUCUACCACAUCUGCAGUUACUUCCUCCACAGAAGUCUUGAGCCCCCUAAAGUCAACUACGAGCAUUGGAAUCAACUUCUCCCAAAUCCUGUUAAUGUGGAUAUUUUGACCUUCUCCCAUGAAUCAUGAAUGUUCUUAAUGGCAUCUAGAAUGAUUAAUUCUUUCCAAAGUCUUUCAGUUUACUUUGCCCAGAUCCAUUAGAGGAAUCACGAUCAAUGGCAGCUAUGCCCCAACAAAAUGUAUUUCUUUCUUUCUUUUUUUUUUUUUUUUUUGAGAUGGAGUCUUGCUCUGUCACCAGGCUGGAGUACAGUAGCGCAAUCUUGGCUCACUGCAACCUCUGCCUGCCAGGUUCAAGCGAUUCUCCUGCCUCAGCCUCCCAAGUAUCUGGGACUACAGGCGUGCGCCACCAUGCCCAACUAAUUUUUGUAUUUUUAGUAGAGACAGUGUUUCACCAUGUUAGCCAGGAUGGUCUCGAUCUCUUGACCUCAUGAUCCGCCCGCCUCAGCCUCCCAAAGUGCUGGGAUUGCAGGCGUGAGCCCCCGUGCCCAGCCAACGUAUUUCUUAAGUAAUAGGACUUGAAAGUCAAAAUUACUCUUUGAUCCAUGGG